CUGGCGGGUGCUUUCACAUGCGAGUCGAACGGCAGCACGGGUGCUUGCACCUGGUGGCGAGUGGCGAACGGGUGAGUAAUGCGUUGGAACGUACCGAGUAGUGGGGGAUAACUGUCCGAAAGGAUAGCUAAUACCGCAUACGACCUGAGGGUGAAAGCGGGGGACUUUUAGGAGCCUCGCGCUAUUUGAGCGGCCAAUGUCUGACUAGGUAGUUGGUGAGGUAAAGGCCUACCAAGCCGACGAUCAGUAGCGGGUCUGAGAGGAUGAUCCGCCACACUGGGACUGAGACACGGCCCAGACUCCUACGGGAGGCAGCAGUGGGGAAUUUUGGACAAUGGGGGGAACCCUGAUCCAGCCAUGCCGCGUGUCUGAAGAAGGCCUUCGGGUUGUAAAGGACUUUUGUCGGGGAAGAAAAGCGGAUUGAUAAUACCAGUUCGUGAUGACGGUACCCGAAGAAUAAGCACCGGCUAACUACGUGCCAGCAGCCGCGGUAAU
rnacentral:rRNA from 1 species